rnacentral:rRNA from 1 species
UACGUAGGGUGCGAGCGUUAAUCGGAAUUACUGGGCGUAAAGCGUGCGCAGGCGGUUUUGUAAGCCAGAUGUGAAAUCCCCGGGCUUAACCUGGGAAUGGCAUUUGGGACUGCAAGGCUAGAGUGUGGCAGAGGAGACUGGAAUUCCUGGUGUAGCAGUGAAAUGCGUAGAUAUCAGGAGGAACACCGGUGGCGAAGGCGGGUCUCUGGGCCGAUACUGACGCUGAGGAGCGAAAGCGUGGGGAGCAAACAGG